UUCUUAAAAUUUGUGCGGAGGGAAGACGAAGGGUGUAAAUUUUUGGCUGACAAAAUCUACAUACGCUUCCACAGAAUCAAUGUGGCCGAUACUGGAACGCGGUAGCUUGGGUGGCCCACUUAUUCACCGAUGCUUCUUUCCGAGCUGAGUUGAACUCCAUUUUCUGGAAAGAAGCAUUUAUCGUUAAGACAUUCUUCACUAAUUUUGUGUGGUUGCUGUUGCUGGAGAGAGAUGGAGCCUGAUCACAACGGCAGUUCAUCAGAGCAGCCAAGUUGUUCAUAUGUUCAGCUUGUUCUAACUGAUACUGGAUGAAGAGAGGGACAUAUGGUGUUAAAAACGUGUAGCCGAGUACUAAAGAUGGUUAGCCGAGGAUUGCCAGUUACUGACGGUCUAAUUCUUAAAAUGGUAAUAGAGGGUUUUCAACCUGAUGAAGAGAGGAUUUUGAAUGAAGGGACUCGGAAUGAGUUUUCAGAGGAAAGGAGUCUGCAGCUGAAGUUCUUAGAUGUGAGUGCCUGAAGUUGGCUCUGCUUGAUUUGAACAAGCACACUGUGACCUGUGGCCUUGGAUCUUCGGCAAAAGUGGAUAUACUACUUCUUGAGGGAGAUGGUGAUGAAAACAACAGGACUCUUGAAAAUUUUGAGAGAAGCAUCAUUCAAACAGGAGAUAAAAAGAAGCCUCACUUUUCUCCUAAAAAAUGUCUAUAUAUUGCUCAAGAAUGGUGUUGCGGAUUUGAUAAAUAUCAAGUUGGGACACGACAGAGAGUGGAACAAUAGGUGCAGCUGCAGCCUGCAGACUGGGAGCGAGGAUCGGGCAGAAUAUUGAAGGAACCAUGGUGCAAGAAGCAUGGACCACGCCAUUUAAGAGUAUGACAAAUUUCCCUGUCCAUCUCUUACUUCUGAAGUUUGGAGAUUGAAGGGAAUAGGCAGGACUGGCAAGCGCCUUGAUAGACUGAAAGAGAAAUACAUCGAGACUGUGCAGAUUUUCUGUUUUGGUACCAUGUCAACCCUGAGGAGCUCCAAAACAAAAUCUUAGAUAACGGUGAUGGCAGAUGGAAGACAAUAGUGAGUCAUGCUCAGAAGUGCAAAUUGACUGUGAAAAGAUGUUAUGUCACAGAUCCUCAACCGAACUAUAUACGAUUGUGUGGGAAAACUCAAGGGGGAUAUCAUGGAGUCCCAGUUUGUUGGGAUUGAUAAUCUGUAUGCUGAUAGAAAGGAUGAUGCUCUCAAGUUACUGAGAUCUGUAUUAGAAAGAGCCUCUGCGUUAUAAAAGGAUUUUCGAUACACAAUCACAAGCACCAUCUGUGAUUAUGGGCCUCUUGGAUCAAAAGAAAGAGGAGUGGUAUCCAACCCUGAUCCUCAAUUCACCCCUCUUCAUAUCUCAGGUCAGAGUGCAUGAUAUUUUGUGCAAAAGAUUUCGGGUGUAAUACAUAUCUUGAAUUUACAUAGAUCCAGAGAAGGAAACAGGCAUCAUCUUCAAUAUUCUAGGAGACAUGCUAAGAGUCCGGAUCAGACGAGCGCACUGCAGUCAGAAAAAGA